ACGCUCGACACCUACGGGGGGCAGCAGUUGGGAAUAUUGGACAAUGGAGGAAACUCUGAUCCAGUGACGCCGCGUGAAGGAAGAAGGUCUUCGGAUUGUAAACUUAUUUUGUCAGGGAAGAAAAAUGACUGUACCUGAAGAAAAAGCACCGGCUAACUACGUGCCAGCAGCCACGGUAAUCUGAGCGGGCUGGCAAGGC
rnacentral:rRNA from 1 species